ensembl:lncRNA
CUUCUGAAUUAUAAAAAAAAGAAAAAAAAAACACUUUUUUUUUCUUUUUUUUUAUAAUUCAGAAGAAACAUUUAAUAAUAGAUAAAGUAUACUAAUAGAUGCAUAAUUAAAUUAGUAAACGACAUAGUAGUAAAUAUAUUUUUUAUAAGUUCAUAUUAUCAAAUUUAAAAUUACAACUAAAGCAUUUAAACAAUGUUAUAAGUUAGAGUAACUGUUAGAUAAAUAUAAAAAAGAAGAUAAUUGAACAUGCAUAUAUAUAUAUAUAUGUGUGUAUAUAACUUCUCAUUGCUACACUAUAUUUUAAAUGGCAUAUAAACAAAAAUAUUAGAAUGGUAAUAUAUAAAUGUAUGCAUGAAGCAUAUGCACAUAUGUAUAUAUAUUUUUUUUAUGCAUUUUUCUAACGUUUCUUAUACAACAUCCCUUAAUUUCUUACACAACAACACUACACAUGUAUGUAAAUCAAAUUACAUACUAUGCAAAAAAAAAAAAAAAUGAAUCAAAUAUCAAAUAAACAUGUAAAUAUAAAAAUAGUUAACCAAAUAAUUGGCCAAAAUGUUAACCAAACAAAUUAACCUACCAAAUAAAAUAUUAUAACCAUUUUAUUAUUAAAUCUAUUAAUUUAUUUUUUGAAUUAUUUAUUUUACACUGUUUAAGAAUCUUUUGUAGAAAAAAAAUAUACGAUAUCAUUCAUUCAUUAAAUUAUAAAAGCAAAAACAUACAAGAAAAAAAAAAAGAAACACAAAAAAUAAUGGAAUUACCACGAGAAAUUAUAAAAUGGCUGCAAAAUUUAAAUUUGCCUUACUCUUUUACAAAUAUUAAAAUUGCCAGUAAUGGGAUAAUCAUUUCGGAAAUUAUAAACAUAUAUAUGCCUAAACGCAUUAAUAUGAACAGCUUAGAAAAUGGUUCUAGUAAAGAGAUAAAAAAAAAAAACUGGCAAAUCAUAAAAAAAACUCUAACCAGUUUUAAUAUACAAUUUGAUGAACUGUCAGUAAUUAAUUCAGACAAAGAAGCAUUAAAAAAUUUAUUCAUUGAUUUGUACGAAUAUUUAACAAAAAAAAAAUGUAGAGAUGUGUACUAUAUUGAAAGUGAAAAAGACAAAGAAUUGAGUAUUCCGUCAUUUGCAAGAUCUACUAUAGCGCAGAAAGUUCGAGAAAGUAAUGUUGAUGACAUAGUAAAUGAAGAGCAAAAGUUAAUAAGUACUUACGAAUUAGUGAAGCAAGAAGAAUAUUAUAAUGCAAUGAUAAGAGAAAAAGAAAAGUGGCAAAAUGAAAAUAAAAAUAAACAAAAAAAUAUAAACAAAGAAACAGCUGUUUCUGAUGCUUCAUUUUUCAACGAAUUAGAAAAAACUAGUAGCAUUAUAACUAUUAAAGAUAUUAAUGAAUGUGAGGAUUAUACAGACAUUCAAACGCUUGAUUCAUUCAUUAAUGAAAAAAAUAAAAUUGACGGAACACAUGUCGGAAGAGGCUUAAAUUUUUUAAAUGGAAACGAAAAAAAAAAUUCAUUAAAACAGUAUGAUGAUAUCAGUUUAGAACUUCUUAUAUGCAAUGUGUUGUUGUCUAAUAUUUCUGAUUAUACAAGAGGGGAAGAAGAUAAACAUGAACAAAUAAAAACUCUUAAUAAAAUAAAUAAUAUUUUUUGUUCGUAUAGUUUUGAAUUAUGCGAUAAUGAAACUGAAAAUAACUUAUAUAAAAAAUUUUAUAAUAUAUGUUAUUUUAAGGAAUAUGAGUUAUUAAGUCAAGUGUUAAAUCAAUUAAUAGACUUGAAUGAAAAUUUUAGUAUAAUUAUAUCUUACAAUGCUUUUGAAUUUUUUCACAUAUGGAAGUUAUUUUACCCAGUUAUAUCGAGCUCAAAUCAUGAUGAGGGCGUGUUUAAUUUAAUUAUGAAUUAUUUGAAACAGUUUUUAAGUUAUAUAAAAAUAAAUAACAUAACAACAAACCAAAUUUUAUGUAAUAUGAUAUUAAAAAGUUUGCUUACCAUGAACCACACAGUAUACAAAGACAUAACAUGUUUUUGUGAAUUAAUUAUUUUGAUAAUAAAAAAAGAUAAAGACACAUUAAUAAAUAUUUUACUACUGAUUAAAAACACUAUGCCAUGUGAUUUUUUUUAUCUUUUCUUAUCGAAAACUUUAUAUCAUUUAUUAAACUCGUCUUCUUAUGUAACAACAAAUAAAUAAAUAAAUAAAUAAAUAAAUAAAUAAAUAAAUAAAUAAG